GUCCACGCCCUAAACGAUGCUCACUAGGUGUUGGGGAAGCGAUUCCUUGGUACCGAAGCUAACGCGUGAAGUGAGCCGCCUGGGGAGUACGGCCGCAAGGUUAAAACUCAAAGGAAUUGACGGGGACCCGCACAAGCGGUGGAUGAUGUGGAUUAAUUCGAUGCAACGCGAACAACCUUACCUACCCUUGACAUGUCUGGAAGGCUUCCGAGAGGAGGCUGUGCCUGAAAGGGAACCGGAACACAGGUGCUGCAUGGCUGUCGU
rnacentral:rRNA from 1 species